rnacentral:rRNA from 1 species
AUGGCUGGAUUUUUUAUGGGCGAGGAGACCCAGGAGCGGAUGAGUAUAUUGCUUACCCGGGCCUUGGUCCUUUUGAGCUUCGCGGCGCAUCUUACCAUGGCCCUGUUAGCCGGCAUCCGUCGGCGUAGAGACUCCGGCUUGCGCAGGUUUCUGGUGUGGUUUGCGUACUACGUAACCGAGAUAGGCACGCCAUUCGCCCUCGGCCUGGUGUUCCUCGACACCGCGACCGCAGAUAGCGAGCAGAAGAUGUUUGUGCUCUGGGCACCUUUUCUUCUUCUCCACCUUGGUCACCCGGACAACAUCACCAGCUACGGGUUGGAGAACAAGAAGCUGACGCCGCCCCACAUCGUUGGUCCGAUCCUUGCAAUCGGAGGAGCUAUCUAUGGCUCAUACAAGCAAAGAUUUAUGCACGACGACGGGGCUCUGCGUGCCGCCUUCUUCAUCAUGCUCUUCUUUGGUUCCUAUAAGUAUGUGGAGAGGGUGGUUGCCCUACACCGAGCUUCCUUUGCAAACAUUCGCCGCACAAACGAGGGAAAGGAGUUAGGGCGCAUCAGUGCUGAGGACAAAGGCCGCCGUAGUAAGCGGGAUAAUGAUGACGUGCAGCUUGAUGCUCACGGCCUUCUCGCUGUCACCAUGGCUGCCUUGGCUGACUAUCAAGUCAGCAGUGGUGGUUAUCGCAGUUCUUAUUCUGGUUGGAAGGAGGUGAGCAAGGUGGUGGAGAUGGAGGCGUCGCUCAUGUACACCAAGGCAAGCGUGAUCCACACUUGGGGUGGCUAUACCAUCCGUGUCCUCUCGCCGCUCGCCACCGCCACGGCACUCUGUCUCUUCCACGGUGAAAAAGGCCUGGCCCUGGUGAAUGCAGACCGGAUGAUCACAUAUAUAUUGCUGGUUGCUACCUUGGUGUUGGAUGGGAGGUGGCUGCUGAGAGCGUUAGGGUCAACCUGGACAUAUGCAUUGUUGGUUGAUAAUAAAGAACAAGACCAAGAAGAAGAAAACAGACAAGUAAGGCCGCUUCUGGGUCGCCGGACCUUCUGGUACAAUUUCAGUUUGCCACGGUGGGUGAAGCUCGCAUGUCGCCGGGCUGGGAGGCAAUUAUGGUAUUUCCCACGCUGCCUUCUCGUCUCUUUGGAUCCGUCCCGGCUGUCAUUGAGAAGCGGCCCAAGUGGCCACAGGUUGUUGUCGGGCUCGAGCAUCGGACAGCGCUGUUGGAACCGCCAGUCCCUUGCCUCGCUCCGCCUAGCUUUUUCUGUCGCCGUCGCUCAAGCUUACCGGAGAGAAGAAGAAGAGGUUCAAAGAAAUUCAGAGAAACGGUGGAUACAGGAGUUUUUCCGGCGUUCGAACGCCCUUUUUCUUCCUCGAGCACGAACUCGAUAA